UACGUAGGGUGCAAGCGUUGUCCGGAAUUAUUGGGCGUAAAGAGCUCGUAGGCGGUCUGUCGCGUCUGCUGUGAAAAUCCAGGGCUCAACCCUGGGCCUGCAGUGGGUACGGGCAGACUAGAGUGCGGUAGGGGAGAUCGGAAUUCCUGGUGUAGCGGUGAAAUGCGCAGAAUAUCAGGAGGAACACCGGUGGCGAAGGCGGAUCUCUGGGCCGUAACUGACGCUGAGGAGCGAAAGCAUGGGGAGCGAACAGGA
rnacentral:rRNA from 1 species